rnacentral:rRNA from 1 species
UACGAAGGGGGCUAGCGUUGCUCGGAAUCACUGGGCGUAAAGCGCACGUAGGCGGAUCUUUAAGUCAGGGGUGAAAUCCUGGAGCUCAACUCCGGAACUGCCUUUGAUACUGGGGAUCUCGAGUCCGGAAGAGGUGAGUGGAACUGCGAGUGUAGAGGUGAAAUUCGUAGAUAUUCGCAAGAACACCAGUGGCGAAGGCGGCUCACUGGCCCGAUACUGACGCUGAGGUGCGAAAGCGUGGGGAGCAAACAGG